rnacentral:rRNA from 1 species
AUGCAGACGAUGCUAACUAUGGAGACUUUGCUCUCUGGGCCUCCACUGAUGAAGGAGCGACAGACGAGUCAGACGGUUGGGACUGGCACUAGGCGUAGGGGGCUCUGGUACAUGGACCAGGAGGUGCAGCCGGACUUGGUGUGUGCUGCGACCACGGAGGACAAGGAGAAGGAGGCGAUGAUCCAUCACUGUAGGAUGGGCCAUGUAUCUUUUGAUAAGAUGAGUAGAAUCUUUCCGGAUGUUAUGUGUGGGAUAGGCAAGGGCAAGUUGACAUGUGAUGCUUGCGAAUAUGCCAAACACACACGAGCCUCAUAUGUGAGUAAGGGGCUUAGGAGCAUAUCUCCUUUUAUGCUUAUUCAUUCGGAUGUAUGGAAGAGCCCAGUUGUAUCAAUGAAUGGAAUGAAAUACUUUGUUACAUUCAUCGAUUGCUAUUCUCGUAUGACUUGGAUUUAUUUGAUGCGUCACAAAGAUGAGGUGUUUAGCUGUUUUCAGAAUUUCCAUGCCUUGGUGAAGAAUCAGUUUCAGGUGCAGGUGCAGGUGAUCAGGACUGACAAUGGGAUAGAGUAUGUGAACAACACAUUUGGGGCUUACUUGUCUGAUCACGGUAUUCUUCAUCAAACUUCAUGCCCAGACACCCCUCCUCAGAAUGGAGUGGCAGAAAGGAAAAAUCGGCAUAUUCUUGAGGUUGCCCGGUCAUUGAUGUUUACGAUGAAUGUGCCCAAAUUCUUGUGGAGUGAAGCAGUUAUGACAGCCACAUACUUGAUCAACAGGACACCAUCAAGAAUACUAAGCAUGAAAUCUCCGUGUGAGCUAGUAUAUGGAGAAACUAAGUUUGUUGUUCCCCCAAAGUUGUUUGGCAGUACUUGUUUUGUUCGAGAUCACCGUCCUUCUGUUGGAAAACUUGAUCCGCGGGCAGUGAAGUGUAUUUUUCUGGGCUAUUCUUCUAGUCAGCAGGGAUAUAAAUGUUGGUGUCCCUCAGAGAAACGCAGGUUUGUCAGUAUGGACGUAACCUUCAGGGAGUCUGAGCCAUUCUAUGGUGAGCCAACAGAUCUAAGUGUGUUGUUUCAAGAGCUUGACCAUUUCCACUCUGUGCAAGAUGGUCAAGAGGGGGAGAAGGCUGUAUCUCACACUCACGCGGAUUCUGUGGGCACUAACAUUGAUGAUGAUGAUGUGCAGGUUCAAGUCCAGCCAAUUGUGGGUACAAUUUCGGUUGGUACUCUCACUGAUGGUGAUGUGCAGGUACGGGUCCAACCAACCGUGGGUUCCAUUCAGAUUGGUAAUCUCCAGCUCCCUGUUCGAGAUCGGUGGCAGAAGAUCCCCCUAGUGUACUCUCGGCGAGAGCCACAAGUGCCACAGGUGCAUGACUCAUCUGACACUCGUCUGGUAUAUUCUCGGCGGCAGCCACUUGUGCAGGAGGGGGAGCAACAAGUGCAGGGGGAGCAGUCAGUGCAGGGGGAGCAGCAAGGCAGUGGUGCAAGCUCAUCUGACACAGUGGAGCUACCUAUUGCGUUGCGAAAGGGGACACGUGAAGCGGCUGAGAAGGCUUUACCACUGGAGUUUUUGGAUGAUCAUGACAUUGGAAAUUUUGUGUCUUAUGAGGCUUUGUCUCCUUCCUAUAGAGUGUUUGUUGCCUCUCUUCAAACUGUGUCAAUCCCAAAGGAUUGGAAGAUUGCAAAGCAAGAUCCGAAGUGGCAUGAAGCAAUGAUAGAAGAGUUGGAAGCACUGAGGAAAAAUAAGACGUGGGUGCUAACCACAUUGCCGGCAGGAAAGAAAGCAGUGAGUUGUAAGUGGAUCUAUACAGUGAAGCAGAAUCCUGAGGGGAAGGUGGAACGGUAUAAGGCCAGAUUGGUCGCCAGAGGAUAUAGUCAAACUUAUGGAAUUGACUAUGACGAGACGUUUGCUCCAGUGGCAAAGAUGAACACGGUAAGGAUAUUGGUUUCCUGUGCUGCAAACUUUGGGUGGAAAUUGCAUCAAUUAGAUGUCAAGAAUGCCUUCUUGCAUGGUGAGUUGCAGGAAGAAGUGUACAUGGAGAUACCAUCAGGUUUUGGUACUUCACUGACAACGGGGAAGGUAUGCAGGCUGAAGAAAUCCUUGUAUGGACUGAAGCAAUCGCCGAGGGCUUGGUUUGAUAGGUUCAGGCGUGCUGUCCGUGCUAUGGGGUAUGGUCAAUGUAAUGGUGAUCACACGGUGUUCUACAGACACUCACUCUCUAAUCGAAAGAUCACCAUUCUUGCAGUUUAUGUGGACGACAUUAUCAUCACCGGAGAUGAUGAGGAGGAAAUAAAGAGAUUGAAGGGGUGUCUGAGCAAUGAGUUUGAGGUGAAGGAUUUGGGCAACCUAAAAUACUUCCUUGGGAUUGAAGUGGCCCGGACAGAGAAGGGAAUAUCUUUGUGCUAA